AGUGAUUCGACCCCUGCAGCUGAAAUGGAGCCAUUGUAAUGGCUUUACAUGGAAUGAAGUAACAUAUGUUGCUGACAGCUUUCGUCCUUGCCUUGAGAGUGACUUCUCUAAAGAAACUUAUUGCGAUUAAGAGGCUUCUGGGUUGAAUUUGCUUGCAAUAAGGAACCUAACCAUCAUGUUUAGAACCCUUUUGUUUUUGGUUCUUGCUGUGGCUUAAAGUUGUUUGUUUUAAGUAUCCUUUGUGAUUUGUGGCAUGAAGGUUGACAAACCUACAUGAUUUAUGAACACACAGAAAUUCUAAAAAUGUUGCUUGGGCCGGGAAAGUCAAGAUGCUUAUUUUUCUUCGAAAUACCUAUGGAAUAACCUAUGUCACGGGAAUUUGAGAGAACUACUUUGUAGGAGGGUUAAUCCUUUGGCUUCAAGAGUUUCACAUGAUUGUUUUUCAUAUAUGAUUUAAAAUAUUCUGCAAUACGUAGGAUUUUCAUUCGAAUUGAUUCAGUUUCUGCAAAAGUCAUCUAGAAUUCGUUUGGUUCAAAUGAAGUAUUUCUUUGUUGCAAUACAUACUCUUCCCGCCCAAUCACCCAAUGAUCCAAAGGAAUAUAUGUGUGAGCACUUCCUUUAUUGAAGUAUAGUAUCGGUUGUUUUAAUUCCAACUCUUCACAUUUUGGAAUCUACCCUGGAAAUGGCUAUUUUGAAAGUUUUACUACUAUUUUAUUGUCAUGUUAUAACAUUACAUAGAGUUAAUUUAUCGGUCACUCCAUCAUCUUUUUAAUAAGUUUUUUUGAAAGCUAAUACUUAAUUACCUGUGCAUUACUCUAUCGCUUCAUUCUGUAUGUAGUGGAAGUGUUCUCUACCCAAAAUGAUAUAAGUACGUCUUAAAACGCCAUAGAAAAACUGGUUAUCUUUAUUACAACCCAAUCUUUUUGCUUUUGCUUAUACUUAUAAGCCAAAAUUUAAAUUUUCAACCUUAAAUUUGGAGUUGAUUUUGGGGUUUUUCAUCAAAGUUUAUUUUUUAUUUUUUGCUUUUAGAUCACUAAGGCCCUGUUCGUUUCUUAUGUAAGGAGAGGGUUAAAUUGUGAAUACUCGUGGCACGCUUUUAAAACUGCUAAACGAUGCGUUUCGUGCGAAAACUUUCUAUAUGAAAGUUGCUCUAAAAUAUUAGAUUAAUCUAUUUCUUAAGUUUAUAUAAUAAUUAAAACUCAAUUAAUCACAUAUUAUUACCACAUCGUUUUGCGUGAAACACUUAAUCUUUAUCUUCAUCUUCAUCUUCAGGAGAUUCAAACACCACCUAGAAACACAUAUAUAAAAGUUUUGUUCACAAAUUAUUUUUCGUUUGCAAAUAUGCAAUUUUGCUUAGGCUGUGUUUAGUUCAUCGCAAAGUUUAGAUUUUGGUUGAAAUUAGAGAUGAUGUGACUGAAAAGUUAUGUGUGUAUGACAAGUUGAUAUGAUGGAAAAUGACUGAAGUUUGGAUCCAAACUUUGGAUCUAAACACAGCCUUAAUCCCCAAAUAAGCCAAACGAUGGGGGCCUUAGUUUGUUCAACGUGUUAAAAUUAAAAAAUAUAUUUACACAACUAUAAACAUAAGCAAACACACACACACCACGUUAAAAUUCCGAGAGAGAGAGAACCGAUGCGAAAAGAGCGAUCCCCUCCCGCGUCUUUCAAACGGAGCCCGCGCCCCGGAUUCCCCUCCAUUCCCGGGGGUUUCCAGAUUCCCAGCGAGGGAAAAAGCAAGCAAAAAAAAAAAAAAAAAAAAAACGGAGGCGAGCGCGAGCGCUGCGCAUCCCAGAUGGACGGCGGAUCGGGUGCCAGCGCCACCCGCCUCGCCGAAUCCGGGCCGUCCAUUCCUCCGCUCGGUCGGGCGCCCCGUUAAGCCUGAGCCCCACCCACCCCCCACCCCCGAACCCUCGCCCUCCUCACCCCGCGCACCCCCUCCACCUCGCCGCCGCCGCCGACUCGCCGGGGCUCGCCGCCACCGGUGGUGGGGGGGAGCUCGACCUCCUCGCCCCACGCGCGCAUCCGGACGCCGUCGUUCUGGGCGCGGGAGAGAUCCGUCCGUCGCCCCCCGCUGGGCUUGCGCCAUCCUCUCGCCGGGUAAGCCCUAGGUUUUUUUUUUUUUUUGGUCCGAUCGAUUCCGCCGCGCUCCUAGCCGCGGGUGAGGCAGGAAUCGGGGUGGUUGCGGGGGGCUCGUCGUGCGGUCGAGGGAUUUGGUUGUUCCUAGUAGGAGGGGUUGUACUUGUUCAUCCCGUCGAUCCAGUGGAGGCGCGUGGGAGAUCUCGGUUGGGGGUUUCCGUGGGCUCCGUGGGUUGCCGCUCGCGGUGCAGCGGCGGGAUGUGGAUGGGGAUGGGGAUGGCGUGGUGGGCCGUAGGUGCGAGCAACCCUAGACGGAUUUUUUUUUUGUGGCCAUUUUAGGGUUUACGGGAAUGGAUUUUUUUUUUACCGAACAAGAGAUGUACUCUGAAAAUUGCUGUCUUUUCGUAGCGAGGGGCCUAUAGGAUCAUUGAAGCCUUAGGGACUUAGGGUUUGGGCUGCUUGCAGCUGUAUUUCUCAUUUGUAAACAUUAGACUUCCGUGUCUGCUGUGGGAGGAUGAAAGAAUUGACUUGGGAGCUGAGUUCUAUUAGGUUCACUGGUUUUGUGGAGUAAUGUUUGGAAAUAAUCUGAGGGAGUAUAAGGCUGCUCCAUCGCAGUGCCACGUGUAGCAUUCGGUUCGAAUUUUUCAUUUGUGUAAUGUUUCUUAGCAGUUACUUUUUAUUUUGGAAGUUGGUUCUCCCAAAAAACUUGUGUCCUAUCUGGUUUAUUUGAAGGUAUCUUAGGACAACAAGACGAUUAGAUGCAAAAGUUGAAAGUAGGGGCAUUAACAUAAACCUUGUUGGGUGCAGAAUAUGGUAAUUUUAUACGUAUUAAUUGCGUACGUACCGUUUCCACAAAAUUGUUCAUGUAGUAAUAAAUAACUGCCAAAGAAAGCUGAUGUGACUCCAUGAAUGAAUGUAUACUACGCUAUAUCUGCUGUAUUGAUUGCUGUAGCAAUCCAUUCGUUUUCAGUAUUGUGCUGGUGCAUUGUUUGCAAAAGCAAAUCAUAUUUAUUAAUUUUUCAUUAUUGAGUUGCAGCUUGCAAAUGUGUAUGUAUGUACAUAUUGUGAGAGAAAGUAGGCAUGUCUGAACUCUCAACAUGAUUAUUGUCAUAAGAAAAAUGUUAUCGUUGUUUUUCUCUCUUUUUGGGUAACUGUUUGUGUUUAUGGUUAUAAGUUCUAUAUUAUAAAUUUGUUCAGGCUGGAAUUAGGCUGACCAAAUCCUUGUUUUGAAAUUCGAAUUAUAUUGAUAUAUAUCUUGUACGGUCAUUGCAUUUUUUAUUGUUUUGCUUUAUAACUAUAUAUAGGCUGGCUUCAUUACGUACUCCCUCCGUCCCAAAAAAACUUAACCUAGGCAAGGAUGUGACAUCUCCUAGCACAAUAAAUCUGGACAGUCCUUUGUCCAGAUUCGUUGUACUAGAAAAUGUCACAUCCCUUCCUAGGUUUAGUUUUUUUGGGACGGAGGGAGUAAACUUGUCUAUGUUAAAGUUUGGAAUAUCCAAAGGUCCUCAACCUAGUAUGUACUAUUUUCUUGACCUUAACAUGGAACUAUACAUGACCUUUUUUUUUCCUAUUUUACUGAAUAAGAUGAUUGUUUGUUUGCGGUUUCCUAAAUGUACUUAACUGUUGGUAUUGUUGUGAAGAUGUGACGGAAUUAGUAUUGUGGUAUUACAUCUAUGUCGUAGACAGCUUUUUGGGUUUGCAGGAAUGAAGUACAUAAAUAUCUGUUUGGUGCUGUGGUACAACAAUGUAAAUAGUUUAUUGCAGUGACAAUGUUGCACUGUUGCAUGCAUUUUUGUUAGGAUCAUGGUUGUCUGUUGCCUUGUUAUGCCAUUAACAAAUCUAGAAUAAGUGAAGCAGCUUAAAGUUAUGUUCUCGUGCUCUUAAGAGCAAACAUUUAAGAGGUAUAAUAGCAUUCUGUGUUCAAACUAUAUUUUAGAACCUUUGCCCUUGCUUAAAUAGUUUUAUUUAUAAGAGAUGUUGAGGAGCAAACACUGCAUAUCUUUACACUUCACAUACGAAUAUACUUUGUGCUUUGCUGCCUGGAUUACUGCAUCUACUUUUUUGUUAAAUUCAAUUUCUUGCAUAAAAUGGGGAUAAGUUAACUGAGAGCUUCAGUAGACUAGUACAUCACAACCUAGGUAAUUGGAAGAAUUAGCUACUAUGAUUCUUUGUUGAAACUUAGGUUUAGUAAAAUAGAGUAACCAGAUAAUAGGUUCUAUCAAAUGGAAACUGGAGAAGGUACUUCCAUAGUCGUAUCAUUGUUAAUUUCACCCUCAGUAUAAUAUUAGUGUUGAAUAUAUGAAAGUUUGCUUUCGAUGAUUUCAGGUGAUUUGAGACAAUCAAGAUGGCUUUUUCAUCAGUUUUCAGGAGAGGAAAUGUCAAAGAAUUGAUCUCAAAUGUUUCGGUCUACACUAGCGCAGCAGGUAAUGGCUUUGGCUUUAGGCAGUCUGAGACUCUUGACUGACUUGAGUCUGUAUUUGUGCUAUUUUGAAUAAGGUGCUUGGCUGUUUGAAUGACAAAAUAUACCUCAUUGCAGAGUCAUCUGGAGGAUUGAGCUUGAUUUUUAAGCGUUGGGCCACCAAAAAGACAGCUGGAUCAACAAAAAAUGGCCGUGACUCUAACCCUAAGUAUUUGGGUGUUAAAAAGUUUGGCGGAGAGGUACAAUCUUGUGAUCUGUCAUAUGACUUUCAUGUUUUUUUAUUGUUUAUGACAGCACAAAGUACUUUCUUUAAUCACGUAAAAGUAAUCAGACUUCGGAGAUUUGUGUGUCCCUUCUGAUCCCGUACCUGAACUCCUGAAGCAACUUGUCAUUUUUGUUAUUAGAACAAAAAGGUGAAAAAGAUCUAAACUGUUCCUGAACAUCAGCAUUUGCAUCAUUUUUCAGAAAGUGGAGCCAGGAAACAUCAUCAUCCGCCAAAGAGGAACCCGCUUCCAUCCUGGGAACUACGUUGGCAUGGGGAAGGACCAUACUCUCUUCUGUCUGAAAGAAGGACAUGUGCGAUUCGAGCGCAACAAGCUGACUGGCAGGAAAUGGGUUCAUGUUGAUCCUGUUGCUGGGCAUGUGCUCCACCCUGUCUACGCCAGUGAUUCGACCCCUGCAGCUGAAAUGGAGCCAUUGUAAUGGCUUUACAUGGAAUGAAGUAACAUAUGUUGCUGACAGCUUUCGUCCUUGCCUUGAGAGUGACUUCUCUAAAGAAACUUAUUGCGAUUAAGAGGCUUCUGGGUUGAAUUUGCUUGCAAUAAGGAACCUAACCAUCAUGUUUAGAACCCUUUUGUUUUUGGUUCUUGCUGUGGCUUAAAGUUGUUUGUUUUAAGUAUCCUUUGUGAUUUGUGGCAUGAAGGUUGACAAACCUACAUGAUUUAUGAACACACAGAAAUUCUAAAAAUGUUGCUUGGGCCGGGAAAGUCAAGAUGCUUAUUUUUCUUCGAAAUACCUAUGGAAUAACCUAUGUCACGGGAAUUUGAGAGAACUACUUUGUAGGAGGGUUAAUCCUUUGGCUUCAAGAGUUUCACAUGAUUGUUUUUCAUAUAUG
rnacentral:lncRNA from 1 species